GCUCGCUCAGUGCUUCCCAUGAUGGUGUCUAAUUCAGGUUUUGAUACUACACUGAAGAAGAAAAGAUUGCUAUUUUGAGGUCAUUAGACGUGAGCUACUUGAACAGAAGAAGAAUGAGUCUCCUAGGACAGUUAAAGCAGAGGAUAUUGUUUACAUCAGCGUGGGACAGAAUGAACCACUGCCCAAAACUGUAAGAAUCCCAAUUAGAGAAUGCAGUUGAUUGAUUCAUCCUCACUAACAAUAAGAAUGGAUGCUGUUUAACUAAAAGCUGCCAUUCUAGAAUCCAUGGACCCACUUAUUAUCCUCCACUAGGACUGUGAUAAUCUAAGCAGCUUGGCUUGACCUGUGAGAGCGUCUGUGGCCUACUGAAGAGUGGAGAACAUCAAGGAUGUGUUAAGGAUGCCUGCUCUUGAGUAAAUUAUGGGCAAAACUUGUCAAGGCUUAAGUCUUCUUUGUAGAGUGGCGCUGUGCCCUCAGAAGUCAGCAUCUCACAGAUAAUCAGAGAAACAGAAGCUGAUAGUCACCAAGAGAAACAGAAAACUCAUAGAGCAAAUAAUAGUUCUUUUUGAACCAGCGAAGUGAGGCAGUGUUAACAAGCAUCAAAAAACAAAAACUAAGACCAAACCCAGGAAAGCAACAGCAACAAGUGGAAAAGAAACAAAAAGCAAGUAAUAAGGACACUUUAAAGGUCCGGAUGUACUGAAGAUUAUGCGUGGAGAUCUGACACCCAUCUUUCCUCGGUUAUGGAAUCCCAGCAGAUUAAACUAUGAACACAAUAGCGCUACAUUCUUUUUAAGGCUACUGGAGAAACACUCCCUCCCCCCCUCCCCGCCCUCUUAGUUCAGUUGUACGAGUGUUUGAAAUAAAUCAGUUAAGUUUAAAA